UGGGGAAUCUUCCGCAAUGGACGAAAGUCUGACGGAGCAACGCCGCGUGUAUGAUGAAGGUCUUCGGAUUGUAAAGUACUGUCAUUGGGGAAGAACGGUUUUCUUGAAAAGAUUGAGAAGACAUGACGGUACCCAAGGAGGAAGCCCCGGCUAACUACGUGCCAGCAGCCGCGGUAAUACGUAGGGGGCAAGCGUUGUCCGGAAUUAUUGGGCGUAAAGGGCGCGUAGGCGGGCCUUUAAGUCCGGUGUGAAAGAUCAGGGCUCAACCCUGAGAGUGCAUCGGAAACUGGAGGCCUUGAGGACAGGAGAGGAAAGUGGAAUUCCACGUGUAGCGGUGAAAUGCGUAGAUAUGUGGAGGAACACCAGUGGCGAAGGCGACUUUCUGGACUGUAACUGACGCUGAGGCGCGAAAGCGUGGGGAGCAAACAGGAUUAGAUACCCUGGUAGUCCACGCCGUAAACGAUGAGUGCUAGGUGUAGAGGGUAUCGACCCCUUCUGUGCCGCAGUUAACACAAUAAGCACUCCGCCUGGGGAGUACGGCCGCAAGGUUGAAACUCAAAGGAA
rnacentral:rRNA from 1 species